rnacentral:rRNA from 1 species
CAGUCGCCGCGGGAAUACGAAGGGUGCAAGCGUUAAUCGGAAUUACUGGGCGUAAAGCGUGCGUAGGCGGUGAGUUAAGUCUGCUGUGAAAUCCCCGGGCUCAACCUGGGAAUGGCAGUGGAUACUGGCUCGCUAGAGUGUGUCAGAGGAUGGUGGAAUUCCCGGUGUAGCGGUGAAAUGCGUAGAGAUCGGAAGGAACAUCUGUGGCGAAGGCGACUAUCUGGGCCAACACCGACACUGAGGCACGAAAGCGUGGGGAGCAAACAGGAUUAGAUACCCCAGUAGUCCCUGUCUCUUAUAC